rnacentral:lncRNA from 1 species
GAUGUCAGAGCAAGGAGAAAAAUCAUAACCCUGUGGAAACUAGGAAACCAUUCACCUGAAGCAGCAAACCAAUCCAGCUGUGUGUCGAAUGAAGGAAAAGAGCAGAACCAUAUCAGGGCUGGAACAUCAGAGCAUUAGGAGAAGAAAGACAUGUCCUCACGGCAGCUGGGGUAGGAGACGGAGAAGUGGAAGACCACCUGGGAUAUCCAAGAAGAACACGCGGGAGGAAACCAUCCUCCUUGCACAGGAGCUGAGUGGACCGCUUUUGGCGAUGCCCCCUGGGGACAGCUUAGAGUCUGUUGGAGAAAUCUGAGGAAAGCUGAAGCUGGUGAAAUUUUAUGGAUAGUGGCAAAAACAGAGAAAUAAUGUUUCAUUACUCUUGUCAGGCCAUUAUCUUUACUCCUACACUGGUUUAUUUUGGAGAAAUAUGGGUUACAAAUACAUGUUGUUUGGGGAAUUUCUUCUCCUUCAGAUUAUUUUUAUAAUAAUCUCAUCUUGGAAAAAGCUGAAGUAAAAUCAGGCUGGAUAAGUUUUUGAUAGAAUACAGCAUUUUGAGCAAAUGACUUGGAUAAUUUGUAUUGUCAGUAAGACCUGGCUGGAAAUAGAAGUCUUCUUUCAGGAUUCAUUAAACUUUGUCUCUCUAAUCAAUAUAUGAUAAUUGAGUCAUUGAUGAUUCAGUCUUGGCUGUAUUAGUGGAUCUUAAACAAGUGAACAAAUAUACAAGAAAUGCCGGCACCUAAUGCCCUGAGUGACAGAAUCAGAAGGGAAACACAGUCAAAGGACUUUUGCCGUCACAACUUGGGGUACCUCUCACCUGUUCAUAUGAAUCUGUAAGACUGGGUGUGAGCCCUUUGACCUUUCCUCUGGUACAAGCCACUGAAGUCAGGGGCCCAGAGAUGUAGA